GUGGGGAAUUUUGGACAAUGGGCGCAAGCCUGAUCCAGCAAUGCCGCGUGCAGGAAGAAGGCCUUCGGGUUGUAAACUGCUUUUGUACGGAACGAAACGGUCCGGGUUAAUACCCUGGGCUAAUGACGGUACCGUAAGAAUAAGCACCGGCUAACUACGUGCCAGCAGCCGCGGUAAUACGUAGGGUGCAAGCGUUAAUCGGAAUUACUGGGCGUAAAGCGUGCGCAGGCGGGUUUGUAAGACAGGCGUGAAAUCCCCGGGCUCAACCUGGGAAUUGCGCUUGUGACUGCAAGGCUGGAGUGCGGCAGAGGGGGAUGGAAUUCCGCGUGUAGCAGUGAAAUGCGUAGAUAUGCGGAGGAACACCGAUGGCGAAGGCAAUCCCCUGGGCCUGCACUGACGCUCAUGCACGAAAGCGUGGGGAGCAAACAGGAUUAGAAACCCUGGUAGUCC
rnacentral:rRNA from 1 species